rnacentral:tRNA from 3 species
AAUAAAAUGGCUGAGGAUAAGCGAUAAAUUGUAAAUUUAUUUACGAGAAAUUUCUCUUUUAUUA